UCCCUGGUAAUCUAAAGAAUCUACCUAUAAUCUUGGUAAUCCACUCAUAAUCUUGGAAUUCUCCUGAGAUUUUCUUCCCGUUGCGAACCCCUCGCUUUUAGAAAAAGGGAAUGAUCUUGCUGUAUUAAAUUAACCCCUCUUGAAUGGACAGUGGGUGUGGUCCUGAUGAUCAAUGGGUUAAAAUAAUAAUUGAUUUAGAUCUAAUCGUUGUUACAAUGGCAAUUAUUAUGCAUUAGACUAGAUAUUAUUAUUAUUAAAAAAAAAUUACAUAUCAAUAUAAUUCUAAUACUCAAUGAA